GAGCACAGGAGCAAGAGAGAAACAACAUCCAAAAUAGUGUAUGUAUAAUGAUUCCAAGUUUUCUGCCUUCAGGCAUGGGGGACACUGUGAGGGCAGGACCCCAAGGCCUCCCUUCAAUCUUAGGACAUGUGUGGGUGCAGCAGCAGACAUCUCACACAGACUGCUCUUGGGGCUUUCCAGCAUGUCUUCGAAUAGUGGAUAAAGCCCUUCUUUCCUGUAUGUUCCUUCUCGGUGCUAACCUCCAGGCGAGGAGGUUCUCUCUUCCAGGAUUGUGUCUUUUCAGAACCCUAAGCCAACAGGAGGAAGUCUAAAUAAAGGGGACGGCUGCCCUUCUUCAGUUUUGUUUCUUAAUCUAAGGAGGCCCCUGUAGCGCAGUUUCUAUGGUUAGUGACAGUCUCUCUGCCGAUUUAUAUAUAGUAACAUUGGUUAAAAAAAAAUCACUUGACAAAGUUUUCUAUUUCCGUAACAUUGUGUCAGGAGGGAAGCUUAACGGAAAGUCUUCCCAGGGAUGAAAGUAUUUGUUUUGAUUUUAUAUAUUAGUUUUAACUCCUUAAAUUCAUCUAUGAGAAUAAACAUUCUUGAUCUGA